UUUUUUUUUUUUUUUUUUUUUCACAUUCUUGGAGCCUUGGGGAACAAGGUAACAUGCUGGGAUCCUUUCUGAAGGCUUGUUUUGCUGAAUCAGUACCAGUUACUUCUGAGAAGUUCCCAGAAGAGUUUCUUUCCCAUUAGUUCCAUUUGUAUCCCCAAAGCUACAGAAGAACAUCAAAACACUGGCAAUUAUUCCAAGGCCUGAAAGUUUCAAAUAAUGGAUCUUGCUGCCACAUCUAUUCUUCUAAAACAUGAAUUUUAUCAUGUCAUCCCCUGCUCAAGGACAUACAGCAUCUUUCUCUUGCUCUCGGAUCAAUCGAUGUUAGUGUUACUGAACAUCCCAUCUGGUGCACAGCCCUCCACUUCUAUAGGAAUAACUGAGUAUUUUUUUUAUUUAUUUAAAAAAUGUCUGAGUACCUGUAAAGUGGCAGACGCCAUGCUGGACACUGGAGGGGAUGCACAGGUGAACAAGGUAUGAUCCACACCUUGAAGAAGCACAGUGUCCUGGUGUUGCCAAAUGAGUAAACAAUAUUUAUAACACACUGUGCUAAGACAACACUGAUGAUAUAGGCACAAAAUUUUGUGAAUCCUAAGAGAAGGCAUCGCAGAGAAGAUAACGCACCAGCCAGGUUAUUGGGGAUGAGCAGGCAUUUACCAGAUGACAAGAAGGAAAAGGGUACCAGGCUGAGGGAACAGUGUAGGCUGUGUUGACCUAAGUCAAAGAGAAAACAAUGAGAAAUGUAGAUUGCUAUAUAUUAUUUGGUAUUUUAUUAAGUGCUGGAAAUUAUAAACUUUAAUACAACAGAGAUCAAGAAAAUAGCACCUGGGAUAAUCAAUCUUUGACCAUGUUAUUCCACUACUUUCCCCAGAUAGAACGGAGGAGGAGAAAAGAAAACACACACACACACAGAUAGAUCUUGGAGAGAGAUCUGAGUCAAAAUCACAGUUCCACUAAAAAGUGUGUUGUAGCUAAAUUAGAAAUGCAGAAAUUUUCACAGCCUUUCCCCAGCUCACCCGUUAAAACAGAUUCUAGCUUAUCUUUCCUUAAGUCCAAGGAGUCUUACUCUUCAACACGAGUUAUUUUAAGCUUUGGAAUGCAGAGUCAGGACGGGGGCAGGGAAGAAAAAGACUAGAGGACUGCAAACUAGGUCAGGAGCUCAGAAAUGAACAAGGCUCAACACCAGCGCAGGAUGAGAUCACAGAAAGGUAUAAGUAUUCUUCUUCAUGGCAUUCUAGAAACCCAAGAAAGAACUGUUACUAUGAAACUAUUUUUUGCUUGUACAUUAACUUGUUGCUGUUUGCUUGUUUUGUUUUCCUUUGAUUUUUAACCAACCUCUGUCUAAGACAGGGUACAUGGAUCAUGGCUUUAGAAGAAUCACAUUAACUAUGUUGGAAUAUUAGCUAUUAAUGAAGGGCUCUGAUUUAACCUCUUCACUUUCCUUAUCUGUAAAUAUAAACAAACAUCUGAAAGAUUUUAUGAAGAUUAAAUGAAUAAUUAAUAUAAAAUUCUGGUAAUCAAAGAGAAACUUUCUCUUCUACUCCCAUGUGUGCUCUUUCAUUCAAUUGUUUAUUCGUUUAAUUCAUAUAGUUUGAUCACCUGCUACUGACAUACUCUACUAAAUAUUUUAUCCAAUAAAUCCAACCCAUCUUAAAUGCUCAUCCUGUUUUAGUUUACCCACUAUUGUUUUUUCCAUUCCUCUUAGCUUUACCGAAAUAUAAUUGACACAAUAUUGUAUAAGUUUAAGGUCUACAAUAUGAUUUGCUACGCGUAUGUACUGUGAAACAUUUACACAAAAAAGUUAACAUAUGCUUCACUCUCAUAACUACCACUUUGAUUAUUGUUAUGAUAACAUUUAAAAUCUACUCUUCUAGCAACUAUCAAGUACACAGUAUAAUAGUGUUAACUAUUGUCACCAUGCUACACAUUGGAUCCCUAGAAUAUAUUCUUCUUAUAACCAGAAUUUGUAGUCCAUUUCUUCCCAUCUCCCUAACCCCAGCCUCUGGUAACCUCCAUUCUACUCUGCUUCUAUGAAUUCAGCUUUUUUAGAUUCCACAAACAAAUGACCUUUUUCCCUCUUAAAGUAACAGCUCCACCUCCCUGACCUCAGGUGUGGACAGACAUUUGACACAAGCUGGCCAAUCAUGAUUUCUCCCCUUGGGCCAAUACUGCUCCAUGUGCAGGCCCAUCCAGCCAGGCCAGUCAGACUGCUGCUUAAGAUUUUUCAAACUAGAGCGGAGAAACAGGUUUUUUUCCCUCUACAUUUAAGACUUUAAAGAUGUAAGCAUAAACAGCUAGCAUCCUAAAUCCAGUCACUCACUUAGAGAAUUUUGAGAAUGAAGGCAACCCACAGAGGGAAGAAAACAAAAGGAAAAAAAAAAAAAAGAGAGAGAGAGAGAGAGAAAGAAUUCCUGUUCUUCCUAGGGGCUGAUUAUAGGAGUCAGUAAAUGCAACUAUUUGCUAACCUCACUUGAGGUGGUUCUUCUCUCUCAGGUGCUGGCAGAGUUCUGGCUAACCCAGCAUCUUCCAAGAUCUCCCUCCAUUCCAUGUCUCCCUACUCCAGGGAACAUCCUGACUUCUCUUAGUGCCUACAGCUCUUCUGUCUAGGCUACACAACUCACCACUGACACUGUAUGUCUGCCAUUGUUGUGCAGUUCUCUUUUACCCAAACACAGUGCUUCUUCAUGCCAAAGGCCUCAUCACUGAGCACAGAGUAUUUGCACAAUAAAUGUGUAAAAAUAAACUCAAGCUAUUAGGGCUAGAAGGAUCUUAGAGAAUCAGUUGGAAAUUCUCUGAAAAUUUGAAAAUGUAUAGUGACUUUUUUUCUAUAGUAAUCUCUGGGAAAAAGAAGAUAUUCAUAUAAAUGUACAUAGCAUUUCUGCCCAAGUAAUCACAGAAUGGCAUAAUAUCAAGACUGCUCACAUAUAAGUAUGCAUGUGUACAAGUACGCCCAGACAUGCCUUAUUAUAAGGCAGUAUUCAUGCUCAGAGGAUGCCUGAGUCCAACUGUAAUUCAUUGUCUCCAAAAAUAAAGGACACAAGACAAUUAAAACUGCAUGAAUUCAGCAAUAUAUUCAGUAAUACAAUCAACACCUAAGAAAUAUAUGUACCUUUUGAGCCACCACUCCUGUUUUGGGCAAUUUACCCUCAGACAAGAAUUGCGAAGUGCUGACAGAGAUUUAGCCAUGAAGAUUUUGAUUAUAACAUUGUGCAAAAUUGCUAGAGAUUAAAAAAUACUAAAUUAUCUAUUCAUAGGGGAUUGGUAAAGAAAUAGCCUAUUCAUAAACUGGGAUUCCAUUUUUAAAAAUCAUGACAGAAAGAUAUUCACAUUUUUAAAUGAAAAACGGGUGAGUAUCAAAAUGGUGUGUAUAUAGGAUGAUUCCAUUUUUGUAUAUGUGAACACAUAAAGAUUGCAAGAAUAUACACUGAAAUGUUAACCAUGUGUAUCUAUGGACUGUAGCAUUAAGUGUGUGUUUGACUUUCUCUUUUUUUGCUUUAUUUUGGGAGUUCUCCACCAUGAAAAGAAUGCAUAUAUAUAUUAUAUAUGAAGAAAACAAGAACAAUUUUUUAAAUAUACAGGAAAAUGUUUUUAGAGAACAUCCAAUCCAAAAUCCUUAUGUUAAUACCAUAUCUUUUACAUGUGGAAUCUAACUUUAAAAAGAUACAAAAGAACUUAUUUAUGAAAAACAGAAACAAACUUAAAGAUUUUGAAAUCAAAUUUAUGGUUGCCAAAGGGGAAACUGUGGGAGGAGGAGGUAUAAAUUAGGAAGAACCCAACUAGUACCCAUGAAGAUACAGGUUAGAUCCCUGGCCUUGCUCAAUGGGUUAAGGAUCCGGCAUUGCUGUGUGCUGUGGUGUAAGUUGCAGACAGGGCUCAGAUCUGGUGUUGCUAUCGCCUAGGCUGGCAGCUGUACCUCCAAAUCAACCUUUAUCCCAGGAACUUCCAUAUGCUGCUGGUAUGGCCC
rnacentral:lncRNA from 1 species